AGUCUGACGGAGCAACGCCGCGUGAGUGAUGAAGGUUUUCGGAUCGUAAAGCUCUGUUGUUAGGGAAGAACAAGUACCGUUCGAAUAGGGCGGUACCUUGACGGUACCUAACCAGAAAGCCACGGCUAACUACGUGCCAGCAGCCGCGGUAAUACGUAGGUGGCAAGCGUUGUCCGGAAUUAUUGGGCGUAAAGGGCUCGCAGGCGGUUUCUUAAGUCUGAUGUGAAAGCCCCCGGCUCAACCGGGGAGGGUCAUUGGAAACUGGGGAACUUGAGUGCAGAAGAGGAGAGUGGAAUUCCACGUGUAGCGGUGAAAUGCGUAGAGAUGUGGAGGAACACCAGUGGCGAAGGCGACUCUCUGGUCUGUAACUGACGCUGAGGAGCGAAAGCGUGGGGAGCGAACAGGAUUAGAUACCCUGGUAGUCCACGCCGUAAACGAUGAGUGCUAAGUGUUAGGGGGUUUCCGCCCCUUAGUGCUGCAGCUAACGCAUUAAGCACUCCGCCUGGG
rnacentral:rRNA from 1 species